rnacentral:rRNA from 1 species
CCUACGGGUGGCAGCAGUGGGGGAUAUUACACAAUGGGGGGAACCCUGCUGCAGCGACGCCGCGUGGGUGAAGGAGUGCUUCGGCAUGUAAAGCCCUAUCGGCAGGGAAGAAGCAAGACGGUACCUGAAUAAGAAGCCCCGGCUAACUACGUGCCAGCAGCCGCGGUAAUACGUAGGGGGCGAGCGUUAUCCGGAUUCACUGGGUGUAAAGGGAGCGUAGACGGCCAUGCAAGCCAGGGGUGAAAGCCCGGGGCCCAACCCCAGGAUUGCCCUUGGAACUGUGAGGCUAGAGUGCGGGAGGGGCAGGCGGAAUUCCUGGUGUAGCGGUGAAAUGCGUAGAUAUCAGGAGGAACACCGGCGGCGAAGGCGGCCUGCUGGACCGCGACUGACGUUGAGGCUCGAAAGCGUGGGGAGCGAACAGGAUUAGAUACCCGAGUAGUC